rnacentral:lncRNA from 1 species
UCACGAGACGUGUUUACCUGAGAUAGCGGGCACCUGCCUGACUAUCACAUGAUAUAUUAUGUUCACCCUCUUCGAUAUACAGUUUUGAAUCUUUGCUGCAGCAUAGAACCAAAAACCUUCAGAGACACAGGUUCUGGACAUUAAGUGCCCUUCUUUAGAUUAAUGGGUAUUUUCAGCAGACGGCAAGUCGUGAAUGCGGGUCUGUGCACGACUCCACCUCCUUACAUAACUGCGAUUUAAAACAUAAAAGGACACCGCAUUCCUGCUUGUACAGAUACCCUUAGUAAUGACUGAAGAACAUGAAAUCUUUGAUGUACCAACUGUUCGCCCUCUUCUGCAGUUUAGAACGCCUGUUGGUGAAGUUGGCGAUGAAAACUACAAGUACACCGGAGAUGAGGAAUUGCCUAGCAGCACUUUUACAAGUGCCCACCCAACAGUUGGGUCAACUGAGAGAAGCAUGCUACCUCAACGGGGACCAAACUAGAGCAAGUGUCUACCCUUUCUGGUUUGGAUCCUGUUGCUGUGACUACCUGGCUAUUCAUUACCUUGAUGUAGUCAACAGCAAUGUGAUGCAUGUUUUAUAAAGUGACAAGAAUGCUAAAUGCAACACACUGAUAAAUUCUUAAAAAUGGUGAAAGUGAAUUGCGAGAUACUUGAAGCCAUUAACUCCAGAAGUCAUUUUUAAAGAACAUGGCUUUGUCAUCAAACGGACAGUAAUGACCAAGGCUUUGGGAACUGAGCAUGACUUUUAUUUAUUUCUUUCUCUAUUGAACUCUUUGGAAGACAUUUAAAUUUUAUAACAUCAAGAUCUUGGUCCCAAUUAUACAUAUGUACAUAAACUUUAAUGUUACAACCAUACAUGUCCUCAAGAUUUCAUGAUAAUAGGAUUACAGAAAUAAGUGAAGUUUGAUUUCAAACCCAACGCCAACAACAUCGGGGGAGACAGAAGCAGAACAGGCACACAUCAGAAAUAGUUCUUAAUUUAGCACCCAACAGUAUUCGAUAUAAUCUCAGAUUAGCAAUUUAUUUUUUUUUCCUACAUUAACUUGAUCGUAAGAGAUGCAAAACACUUCAUGAAAAAGCUUGACGAAGCAAAGUAAACAAAAUUAAAAUUUUUCUACGAGAUACAGCAGCUAAAGAGUUAUUUUUAUUAUUUUCCCUCAAGAGUAUAUGUUUAUUUUAAUAUUUAUUUUGUUCAUUUCACUCCAAACAAUAGUGGUUUUUUAGCUUCUGCAAAUGACAAAUGAAUAAGACAUUCUGAUUCGGAGCUGCAGACAGCAUUCUCAAGAAAAGCAAAGGAACUGGCACCUGUGCGACAGCUGCAAGAGUAUUAACUACACUAGUGGCAGGGUACAGCAGAAGGAAUAUACAGAUAAAUGUACAGUGUGAUCAGCACAGGAAUAAAUAACAGUUCCACAGUAUUUUACACAGAAACAGCUGUUGCAUCCACAUAGACUUCAAAAGACAUAAAUUAACACCCUUUUAUUCUACAUACAUAAAACUGGCAAACAGCUCCCCAAGUUGACAGGAGACAAUGCAGAUCAUGAUCAAACAUGUCAAUGUGUUUCCAAACUCAACGGUUCAUAAAACACAAUAAUUAUAAAUAAGCAAAAUCACAGUUUAUAUUAUUCAGCUCAUGGCUGUGAGCAGGACAUCAAUGUAUUGUGAAUGCCUCUAAUCAGGCAUCCUCAAUUCACUGAAAAAUAUUGGCAAAUGCAUGCACAUUGGGUAAAGGAAUUACUGCAGUUUAGAGAUCUAAGAUAAGUUUAUGAUCAAGGUGUUGGUUUUUGUAUAUGUCUGUGUGUGUGUGGGUGAUGGUGGGGGCAGAGGAGCGAGGAGUUAAGGUAGGAAAGCAUCUCCCACACACAUUGCAACAAAAGCAGCAUUUUGCAGUGACCUUAAGAGAUGACCAGGGAAGUGAUGACUGAGUACUGAUCAUCAUCUAAACCUUUUUUUUUCCUUUUAAAACAUUCAUGUGUAAAAGUACGCAAAAUGAGAAUUUCACCUACUGUCUGCAGAGAAUACUGGAGUUUUGAAAACUUUUUUAAUGAAACUAUGAAACUUCAAAUGGAAACCAGGAAAGAAAUCAAUAAUGAUAGCGAAUAAAAAUCCAACAAUAACAACAGCAGACAGUUGAUGUUUCACCUGCCAUUUGAGGAAAGACGAUGGUAACUGUUUACUGUCAAUAUAGUUGUCUCUAAUGACAAGAAUGGCAUUUUUAUGAGCUUUUUAAUUUUCUAUGGAACCUAAAGUGUUUCUGCUAAAACUGUUCUCAAGUGGUACUAAAUAAAUGUUUAAACCUUGUAAGAUCUGUGACCGACUUCUACAAGCCAAGCUGGGCAUUCCAAGGUGGUCUGUAGAAAUGUGAACAGACUAACAAAAAAUAUGGUCCAGUCAGCCAAUUUUUCAUUAACUGGCCAUCAGCUACUUGAUGAGAACUAAAGAACAAAGUGGCACAUAAAAAUCUGCCCUGUUUACCUCUCUAAUCUCUUACCUGUCUAAUCUAGACAAAUCUAGGCAAUACAUUCAGUUCUGCUGCUUUUACACAUCAUACACACAUGCUGCUAAACAACUGGAAGUAACCCUUUGAUUUAAUUCUAAAAUGGUACUCUUACUCACUUUUCACAUCCCAUAUAAUGAAAUCCUUAAAAAUACCUUUAGUAGCCUAAAGUAUGUGUCCCUAAAAUCUGUACAUUUGCUGAGCAAGCAAUACAGCCUGAAUGUGAAAGUAUGGUGAAAAUCCUGAUAUUUUUGAGCUGAGCAUCUCAUGCUCAAAUUACACCUCUGCAAUACAAAAUUAUCCAAUGUUGCAAGGUGCAUAAUUCAUGUUGCUGCAGACGAGGUGAACCUCUAGAUACACCUCAAAGAAUCAAGCCACCUAAAGAUGCAUAAAUAGGUCUGAUACAAGAUAAAAAUGGGAUGUCAAAUCAUGCUGUUGAGUAUUUACCACCAGAAAUGAGUGCUCUUAAAGCAACUCACAGGAUGUGAUAAAUUUCAUGAAGCCAAAGGGCUGCUGUGGGAUGCUGGAAGAUAAAAA